rnacentral:rRNA from 1 species
CGCAUCUGUGCAUGCAGCAUAUCAAUAAGCGGAGGAAAAGAAACUAACAAGGAUUCCCCUAGUAACGGCGAGUGAAGCGGGAAGAGCUCAAAUUUGAAAUCUUAAAGGGUUUCCCUUUACGAAUUGUAGUUUAAAGAAGUGUUUUCUGUUGAGGUUUUGGUAAAAGUUCUUUGGAAUAGGACACCAUAGAGGGUGAGAAUCCCGUAUUUGACCUUUACUUUCAACUUUGUGAUACGCUUUCAAAGAGUCGGAUUGUUUGGGAAUGCAGUCCAAAAUGGGUGGUAAAUUUCAUCUAAAGCUAAAUAUUGGCGAGAGACCGAUAGCGAACAAGUACCGUGAGGGAAAGAUGAAAAGAACUUUGAAAAGAGAGUUAAACAGUACGUGAAAUUGUCAAAAAGGGAAGCGUUUGACACCAGUGUUGUUUUUCUGAAAAUCAAUUAAAGAACUGUUUAUGCUAAGUUGUUUAGACUUUAUCAGCUAUCUGCUUAGUUUUGAGCUUUUCUUUAAUGCACUUUUCAGUUAACAAGUCAACAUCAAUUUCUUUUGCUGUAAAAAAGCUUGAGGAAGGUGGCUUGAGAUUCGUCCUUAAGUGUUUAUAGCCUCUUGCCUAUGCAGUCGGAGAGAUUGAGGUCUGCAGCGUAGAUCCUUCGGGGCUAAAUGCAUUUGUGCUAAGUUAUAGCAUUUUAUAGACGACUUGUUGACUAUGAUUUGUCUUGUAGCUUACUCGCUUAUGUUAUUUUACCUACGCUUAGGAUGUUGAAUCUGUGCGAGACUAC